ACCGUCUCAACACCGCCGACCACCGUUCUGCACCACCAUGAGUUGUUAGUCAUCGUAGAUGGAGCCGUGUUGUCGGAGUACGAGAGCCAAUAACGUAAACCCAAGCCGUGAUGGUUGAGUGUCCUCUUCUCAAUUUCUUGUGCUACAAGAAAUUCACUUAUAUAAUUUAACCCUUAAUUGGUUCAUGCCUAGGGAAACCAUCGUGGACUUAAGGUGUGAAUUAUUUGAUAAUUAAUUCUUGUUAAAUCCUGACCGAAGAGGUUUGUUGGACAAAUCCCGAGUGUUUUCUCAACGUGGCUAAGGUGAGACUGACAAGUAUAUGAUAUUUGGACGGAUUGGUGCUACUGAGUUUUUUAUUCGGAUUUUUAUUUGGGCUUAGGAUGAGUGUCAGUUGUGUAUAUGGGCUAUUGUGUUAUGAGAUAUUGUUGGUGGCACGCUGUUUUCCAGAUAGGAGGUGACGGGUGUCACAGUUUCAUUCGGCUGUCCACAGAUCCGGCCCUGUUCGAACUCAACUGGAAAAGCAAGAGGGAGUGGAGAUGGUUGAGAGUAAUUUGGAUGGUAUUGUGGGUUGUGUUGACUAUUUUCCUCACAUGGAGGAUCAAGUGUCUUGUGCUAACGUGCCACCACCUGAUCCUUUUGUAUGGGGAUGAUGGAGUCAGAGACAAAAGCUCUUACUCAUGUUCUGUUUCUAUUAUCUGAAAAGUAUCUUUAAUAUUGUGAUUAUUCUAUUUUCUUGCAAAGUUUUUGCAGUCUUCAUGUUAUAUAGAUUAUAUAGCAGAUGGUGUCGCUAGAAAUUUUGAUAAA